rnacentral:rRNA from 1 species
AUUGAACGCUGGCGGCAGGCCUAACACAUGCAAGUCGAGCGAGCGGCGGACGGGUGAGUAAUGUAUGGGGAUCUGCCCGAUAGCGGGGGAUAACUACUGGAAACGGUAGCUAAUACCGCAUACCAUCAGAUGAACCCAUAUGGGAUUAGCUAGUAGGUGGGGUAAAGGCGUACCUAGGCGACGAUCCCUAGCUGGGCUGAGAGGAUGAUCAGCCACACGGGGACUGAGACACGGCCCAGACUCCUACGGGAGGCAGCAGUGGGGAAUAUUGCACAAUGGGCGCAAGCCUGAUGCAGCCAUGCCGCGUGUAUGAAGAAGGCCUUCGGGUUGUAAAGUACUUUCAGCCGGGAGGCGUUACCGGCAGAAGAAGCACCGGCUAACUCCGUGCCAGCAGCCGCGGUAAUUC